UAUUCACCCUUGUUUUUUGCGUACUUCUUGUUUCCUUGGUGGGUUCGCCCACCACUAGGACAAACAUAAACCUUUUGUAAUUGCAAUCAGCGUCAGUAGCAAAUUAAUACCCCCACCUUUCAACAACGGAUCUCUUGGUUCUGGCAUCGAUGAAGAACGCAGCGAAAUGCGAUAAGUAGUGUGAAUUGCAGAAUUCAGUGAAUCAUCGAAUCUUUGAACGCACAUUGCGCCCUUUGGUAUUCCAAAGGGCAUGCCUGUUCGAGCGUCAUUUGUACCCUCAAGCUUUGCUUGGUGUUGGGCGUCUUGUCUCUAGCUUUGCUGGAGACUCGCCUUAAAGUAAUUGGCAGCCGGCCUACUGGUUUCGGAGCGCAGCACAAGUCGCACUCUCUAUCAGCAAAGGUCUAGCAUCCAUUAAGCCUUUUUUUCAACUUUUGACCUCGGAUCAGGUAGGGAUACCCGCUGAACUUAAGCAUAUCAAUAAGCGGAGGAA
rnacentral:rRNA from 1 species